AUUGAACGCUGGCGGCAUGCCUUACACAUGCAAGUCGAACGGUAACGCGGGGCAACCUUGCGACGAGUGGCGAACGGGUGAGUAAUGCAUCGGAACGUGCCCAGUAGUGGGGGAUAGCCCGGCGAAAGCCGGAUUAAUACCGCAUACGACCUACGGGUGAAAGCGGGGGACCGUAAGGCCUCGCGCUAUUGGAGCGGCCGAUGUCAGAUUAGGUUGUUGGUGGGGUAAAAGCCUACCAAGCCGACGAUCUGUAGCUGGUCUGAGAGGACGACCAGCCACACUGGGACUGAGACACGGCCCAGACUCCUACGGGAGGCAGCAGUGGGGAAUUUUGGACAAUGGGGGCAACCCUGAUCCAGCCAUGCCGCGUGCGGGAAGAAGGCCUUCGGGUUGUAAACCGCUUUUGUCAGGGAAGAAACGAUCUGGGCUAAUACCCCGGGGUAAUGACGGUACCUGAAGAAUAAGCACCGGCUAACUACGUGCCAGCCGCCGCGGUAAAAC
rnacentral:rRNA from 1 species